ensembl:snRNA U6 U6 spliceosomal RNA
GUGCGCGCUUCAGCCGCAUCUGUGCUGAAAUUGGAACGAUGCAGAGAUCAGCAUGGCCCCUGCACAAGGAUGACAUGCAGAUUUGUGAAGCGUUCCAUAUUUUU